UGGCCAGCUGUGGUCAAACAAGAGUUAUUGGACUCAAUUCUGAAAUUCAACUGUGGCCUCGGAAUCGGGAGGAACUACAAUCUCUGUCUAAUGCCAGAAGACCGAUUCAUUCAUUCAGACAUUUGUUGAUCCUCACCAACAUCUUUUCCCUCAAGGUCACUGUUGUCUGUGGAGAGGAGCGAGUGGAAAGAGGAGGAGGAGGAGGAGACAGGACGAGAGGGAGAUCAAGCACACCUCUCCUGGAAGUGCGCCGAGGGGAUCAGCGCGGCGCGCAGGUUGCAGUCGCCCACUUUCUUGGCCUGCCACCAAGUGGCGUCUUCCUGGCUCACCACCUGAAGGAUGUCGCCGCGUUUAAAAGGAAGCCCCGCCUCCUGACAGGGCGUAGCUCGGUCCUCAAGGGGCACGUAGUCAAACAAAGCCCCUUGUCUUCUUCGAUGACGGCUGGGAUGAUUUUCAAUGUGAUGGAGCCUUGCGACUUGGACUGGUGUUAAAAGACAUCACGGCGUCAAGCAGCGCUUUCGUCUCUGAAUUGAAACCGGUGAAAAUGUGACAUUUACCAGAAUGUGACUUAUUUCAUCCGGCCUUUUGUGGCUUAUCAGGCUGCCAUUGAGCUCCCGCAACUCGUCCCCCACGUGCACCAGACCUGGCAACGCCAACACGGACGACAUCGUGUGAAGCACGAAAGCAUGAAGUUGAUGACAUCUCCAUGGCAACAUCCAGCCAGCCCUGUUUGAAGCCUCCAAAUAUGCAAUCUCGUGGCACUAAUCUGGAGGAUUUAAUCUCUGUUGACAGUUUGCAACGCAUUACACAACGUAAUCUCCUCACUUGUGUGUCAGAGCUGACAAGGAAGUCCACUUGUUGCAAAGUAAAAACCCCCCAAAAAGGCAAAAGCACCUCUCACCACUACGGUGGGCCGCUCCUCCCCUCAUGAUCCGCGCCACGAUGACUGCGCCGGUUGCCUCGUCUCGCCUGAUGGUCGCACCCUGGAUGGAGGAAAUGAAGUAAACAUCCAUCCGACUCCAACAAUGAAUGGAAUUCAAAGCAACGUGGCCAAAUCUUCAUCCCACCAGAGGCUCCUUGUGCUUCACCAGUCGGACGAUCUUCACCGACUCCUCCUCUGGCUCGUUCUCCACAUCUUCUGGCAAGGGAGGCAGCACCGGGUCAAAAUUCUUCUGGGCCACCGUGUCGUGGGUCGACAGCAUAGCCUGUGAAGAGAGGCAGGUUUGCAUUCAUCAAAAGAGGACAUUCUUUUUUUGUAAUUGUCUACCUUGAUGUGAGGGGCAUUCAAGAGAAGCAGCAGCUCUUUCCCCUCCUUCUCCUCGAGAAGCCUGUUCUGUAGUUCUUCUGUUAGCUUGGACACAAAUUCAAAACUAUCAAGUCAAGAAAAAUGACAUUUAGGGCGAGGACGCGCUGCACUUACAUGCUCCGCCAGCCAGGAGGCGUUGUGCAGGACCGGCGUGGGGCUCUGCUUUUUGUACUGCUUCAGUUUCUCAUGAAUCUGAGAGUUUGACUUAAUUAGCACAGUGGAACCUGCCCUCAUUUUUGUAUGCAUUUGAUCUGUGUAGAGUUCAAGCAAAGCAACAGAAGUCUUUUUGCUUGCAGGAGAAGACACGCCCACCUUCAUGAGGUAGCAGAGGCUCUUCUCACUGAAGACAUCUUUGAGGAAGACCAGGUCCUCCUCAUGGUUGGCACCAGGGUGUAGCUGAGAGAUACCACAGGCAUGCUUGGCUGCGUCAUUCAAGGAAGGGAAAGGAGAGUGGCUCCAAUGGUGGUGUCCGCUGCUCCUCAAGACCAGAAUCGCAAUCUGCCUUCCUGGCUGACAUAUGGUGGCAUUAUCUCGCCUGCUUUAUUCAACAUGGCAUCUGCUGGAGAGCUGAGACACAAGCGGCAGAAGACCAGGGGAACGGACAAGUGGCCAUUAUGUGUGUUUCAAGGUCAAAUUGUAUUGGCUGGGUUGCUAUGGCGAAUGGUGAAUCAUACUACUUUGUCAAUUUCAUAGUAUAGACGUGUGUUGAGACAAAAGCAGCAUCACACUUAAGCAGCAUCACACAAAGCCGUCCAUAAACUUUGGCAAUUACGCAAUUAGGCUAAUCAAUGUCUGUCAAUCAUCGAGCUAUACAACAAAGUCAUCAUCGUGCCUGACACAAAUUGGUAAAUUGUUCCUGCACACACGCCACCUGUUUGCCAUGCUUAUUUUGCUGCGGGGUGACUCUGGGAUUGGAGUGGGGGGGGGGGGGAGUCGCCAGUACAUAGAAAAAGACCAUCUGCCCAUCCUGUGCAUACAGGGAAACUCACAAAUCGCGUGACAAUAGGAUGGAGCCUUGAAGUCAUUGCUUCUGUCAGUUGGAAUCGUUUAAUGUGAUUCUGCCUCAUUGACAUGUUAUUACAUAAACGUGUACAUGCACACGGACAUUUGGCCAACUAAUAUUCCUGUAGUGCGGGUCUUUGGAGAGAGACGGAACGGGGGCAAGGUCAUCAAUUCAGUAAUGGCCAUCUGCCGGGUGUGUGUGUGUGUGUAUACAUGUACAUUUCAAUUUUUAUCCAACGUUUCUUAAGUAAUAGCAUUUAUUUGACAUUAAAACAAAUCUUAUAGCGAUAGAGUAAGCAAAAUGUUCCAAAAAGAGGAUACAUCGGUGAAUUGUUUUUUCUGCCCCCUAGUGGAAAAGCAUGUCAUUGUUCUGCCGGUCACUAUUGGUCAGUGGCACAGACAGCUGAGCAAAUACAUUAUUUCUUGAAUAUCAGUUAGUUGAGUCAUCUACAUUUAAAGAUUAAGCCCCAUUGUCCCAGUGGUAGUUAAAGACUGGUGAGCAAAUAUCCAAUCUGUAAACACUGACAUGCAAACAAAAUAAGCCACUCUGAUGAUGCCAAAUUCCAAGUAUGGGAAAUAAAAGAGAAAAGAAUGCAGGGCUAGGCGAUGAGGAAAGCCAGAAGGCUCUUAAGAGGCUUACAAGAGGAACACGACUUCCAAACACCUUCAUGACACACAGCAGCCAGCCAGGCAGGCAGGACAGAGGCUGGAGCCAGCCAGCAGAUUGAACUCAGUUUGUGGGGCAGAUGGACGACCCGGGGUCUCUUUGGCAAGCCAUUGCACGCUGUUGGUAGGUGGCCAAACGCUCGAAGCUCCCUCUCAGUUUGUGUUUAUGGGUGCAAACGAAUGGAGCGCUCCAAAAGCUCUUAGUAAAUCAAUUAACUUCUAUUAGGAGCAUUAGCCUAAAUACAGUCAUAUCCAACGAGGUAAGCACACUAUAACUCAUAAAUAAUAACGUGGACAGUGGAGUAAAAACUUAGUGAAAGAAGCUGAUGGUUCUGUGGUGAUUGACACUCAUUUAACCCCGCCCCCUU